rnacentral:lncRNA from 1 species
UGGGGUUACCAUAGGGGCUUAGGGGGUGGGUACAGGAGGCGUUAUAGGGUUACAUAGGGGAUGGGUACAGGAGGCGUUAUGGGGUUACAUAGGGGAUGCGUACCGAGAGCGUUAUGGGUUACAAUAGGGGAGGGUGUACAGGAGCGUUAUGGGUUACAUAGGGGAUUAGGGGGUGGGUACAGGAGGCGUUAGGGGUUACAAUCAGGGAUUAGUGGGGGUGGGUACAGGAGGCGUUAUGGGGUUACAUAGGGGGUGUGGUACAGGAGGCGUUAUGGGGUUACAUAGGGGUGGUACAGGAGGCGUUAUGGGUUACUAGGGGGGGUACAGGAGGUCUGUUCAUGGGGUUACCAUAGGGGAGGUGUACAGGAGGUGUUAGGGGUACAUGGGAUGGUAGGUACAGGAGGCCGUUAUGGGGUUACAUCGGGGAUGGGUACAGGAGGCGUUAUGGGGUUACAUAGGGGAUGGGUACAGGAGGCGUUAUGGGGUUACAUAGGGGAUGGGUACAGGAGGCGUUAUAGGGUUACAUAGGGGAUGGCUACAGGAUGCGUUAUGGGGUACAUCAGGAUUGG